CCUAUUUCAUCAACUUUAACACCCAAUUUCGAAGAAUUAAUGGUUGAUUCUUCAAUAAAAUGACGUAUUAAGGCCAUGAAACUUACCUCCAAUCACUUCCCGUCGAAAUCCCCUUCAAAAUCCGUCAACAAGCUCUCAAAUGGUGCAAAAAUGGAGGAAAUAUGAAAUACCUCGCGGAUGAAAUUUUUAUAAAACAUUAACUGCCCAGUGAUUUCCUUAGACGUGAUCGCAGCCCCAGGCUUGCGAUUGCAGAGAACAAAAACUGAAACUCCCGAAUUUACCCCUACGCGAUCGCACUCAGCUCCACGCGAUUGCAUUACUCCGCCUCCUAACCUUACCUGAACGCGGUCCUUCCCACGCGAUCGCAGAGAACAAUGACUUCCACCUACGUGAUUGCAUCUCCAACAAGGCGAUCGCAUUGAACAAAUUACUGGGCCCCUGACCACCCUCUUAUGCGAUCGCAAUGCCAUACCUGUGAUCGUAUAGAGCAAUUUUGCCCGCAACUGUUGUGCUAAAUUCUGCAACUUUUUCAAACCAAAAUCCUUCCGUUAGCCAUCCGAAAUCACCCCGAGGCCCCCGGGCCCCUCAACGAAAAGCACCAACAUGACCUAUUACCUCAUCCAAACUUGCUCGGGCCAUAAAAACACCAACAUUAACAUCAAAAAUCAUCAAAUUCCUCAACUUCAAGCCUAAGGCAAACUAGAACUUCAUCAAAUUCGCAUUCGAUCCAAAACCCGACCUAAACACUUCAAAAUGAUCUAAAAAUUUGUAGAUAUAUCCAAAAUCACCUAACGAAGCUACUGCAACUUUCAAAAUUCCAUUUCGACCACCGGAUAAAAAUCUCACUUAUCAACCGGAAUUUGCCAAAAUUCGAACCUAGCCAAUUCAAGCUUAAUUCUACAUCGGACCUCCAAAUUAAAUUUUGAUUUCGCUCGCAAGACAAAAUCACCAUCUGAAACUAGUCGAAUCAUCGGAAAUCCAUUCCGAGCCCUCUAACUCACAAGUCAACAUCCGGUUNNNNNNNNNNNNNNNNNNNNNNNNNNNNNNNNNNNNNNNNNNNNNNNNNNNNNNNNNNNUCAACAUCCGGUUGACUUUUCCAACUUAAGCUUUCCUUAAGGAGACUAUUGGUCUCAUUUCUAAUCAAAUUCAACCCAACACACUUCAAACUUACCAAACACAUAUAUCAACACACGGGAAAACAUAAUACGGGGAUAAUGAGGCAGAAAUACAAAAGACGACAGGUCGGGUCGUCACAUCCUCCCCAACUAAAACAAACACUCGUCCUCAAGCGGGUGAAGAAACAUACCUGUAGCCUCAAAUAAACGAGGAUAUCUACUCCGCAUCUCUUUCUC
rnacentral:lncRNA from 1 species